AUACGUAGGUCCCGAACGUUGCGCGAAAUUACUGGGCGUAAAGGGUCCGUAGGCGGUCUGGUAAGUGGAAGGUGAAAGCCUGGGGCUCAACUCCAGAAUUGCCUUCCGAACUGCCGGACUUGAGGCAGGGAGAGGUCGGCGGAAUUCCCGGUGUAGUGGUGAAAUGCGUAGAUAUCGGGAGGAACACCAGUGGCGAAGGCGGCCGACUGGAACUGUCCUGACGCUGAGGGACGAAAGCCAGGGGAGCGAACCGGAUUAGAAACCCUAGUAGUCC
rnacentral:rRNA from 1 species